rnacentral:rRNA from 1 species
CCAAUAGCGUAUAUUAAAGUUGUUGCAGUUAAAAAGCUCGUAGUUGAAUUUCGGGGUUAGUAGGUUGGUCAUGCCUCUGGUAUGUACUGGUCUCACUGAUUCCUCCUUCCUGAUGAACCUUAAUGCCAUUAAUUUGGUGUUUUGGGGAAUUUGGACUGUUACUUUGAAAAAAUUAGAGUGUUUAAAGCAAGCUAACGCUUGAAUACAUUAGCAUGGAAUAAUGAAAUAGGACGUUCGAUCCUAUUUUGUUGGUUUCUAGGAUUGACGUAAUGAUUAAUAGGGAUAGUUGGGGGCAUUAGUAUUCAAUUGUCAGAGGUGAAAUUCUUGGAUUUAUUGAAGACUAACUACUGCGAAAGCAUUUGCCAAGUAUGUUUUCAUUAAUCAAGAACGAAAGUUAGGGGAUCGAAGACGAUCAGAUACCGUCGUAGUCUUAACCAUAAACUAUGCCGACUAGGGAUCGGAUGAUGUUAAUUUUUUAAUGACUCAUUCGGCGCCUUACG